AGGUGAUAACAAUUCAGUGAGCUGAAUUGUGAGCAACUUUUCAGCUGUUCUUUUUACACUGACCAGCAAACAGAUGCUUUCUGCUUUGGCCCUGCUACUCCUUUCCACCCACACAAAGGACCAGGCAUCUCAGGGCUUUGUCAAUUUUCAUUUCCAUCGUGUGUGCUUUGCUUUGCCAGCUGUUUAACAAGGUACAAAUAAACACUUACGGAGAGGAAUCCUGGCCCCAAACAUAGGGCAAAUAAAAUGGCAGGAGCCCUGCCAGUACUUCGAAGACAGUGCCAAUCUGAGCACAAGGCUGUGAGUUCCUGUUUGAGAAGAUAAACCUCAUCACUAGAAGGAUGAGUGGGCAGGCUCGAGGAAGCUCUGAGGAAGCGCAGUUUGUACCUACCCCUCAUGCAUCUUGAUGCUUGGGUUUUGUCUCCAUCUCUGCAGAUGCCAUUACAUGUAUUUUGUACCACAGGCUCAAACAGAGGCACAGAUGUUGUAGGUGAAAGAAUCAAGACUUUUGAGCAGGUAGAAAGCAAGAUAGCACGGCCUUGGAAGUGCUGAGAUACCGUGGCCGUGAGCAUAGAUUGAGCUUUGAAACUUACUCCACAGUAUCAGGGUAUUGCAGAGGGGUGAAUGUUGUUCUCAGUAAUUUUAUUUGAGGGUAAUGAAGCUCUCUAUGUAGCCCAGAUUGCCUCACAGUAUGUCAAAUAAUAAAUUGUCUCAUAAGGAUGUGAGCUGAAUCACAAACACUUGAUUUUUUGGUAGAAUGAAGGGAUAACUGUCCUUUGUAGAGGUAGUAUACAUGUCUGGCUCUUGUUAAUACAUAAACAUCUCAAGUACUGUUUGCAAAACCAACCAUCCCUUCCCACUUCAAUGAGGGAAGUUAAUGGUUCUGAUAAAAUAGUGCACCCUUGAUCCUACAGCUGUAAGCAGAAUGCAAGGGUUGUCUCUGCCUCUUCAUGCAGUAUCAGUAUUUCCCUGUGAUUUACGGAAUAUUUAAACAUUCAUCAAGCCAAAGAGCUAGCCAGGCUAGCAGGAUCCACAUUCAGCACACGUAGCUCCAGCGUUCAUGUGGGAGAUCUGAAGUGUGGUUACAAGAUGAUAACUGCAUUGCCUGAAGGAGAUAAGUCCCGCUCUGCCAGAAUGGUGCUUUGUAUGUAAUUAGUGUAAAAAUUCCGAGGAAUGGAGUUUAUCCUUGCCAUCGUCUUUCUCAUUAAAAAGGAAUCAUAAUGAAAGAACAAAGCAGUCCCUGCAGUGAAUUGAAUUGACUUCCUAAGUUUUCAUUAAAUCAAAGGCUCAAUAGCUUCCCAUUUUGCAGAGCCCAGUUGUAAACUGUACACAAGACUUGCAGUAAAGUCCCUGUGAAGAUCACAUCCUUUCUGAAGGUUUGAAAGUGCUACCUAUUCUAAAAUAAGGACUAUAAGACAGCAUGAAUCAAGGGAAUAAAAAGUUAUGCCAGUAGGAUGAAGCUGUAUUCUCAACUUAUUCUUCUACCUCACACUUAAUACUUAGUCCUAACACAAGCAGUGAUUUUGUCUUCUUUCAUGUCCCUUACUACCAAGGUAAUACAUAUAUUUAUUUUUACAACUAAAUACAUCUUUGAGACAAAAAUGUACAAAUAUCCUGUAAGUUUAUCUACCACUUUAUAAGC